GGUUAAGCGACUAAGCGUACACGGUGGAUGCCCUGGCAGUCAGAGGCGAUGAAGGACGUGCUAAUCUGCGAUAAGCGUCGGUAAGGUGAUAUGAACCGUUAUAACCGGCGAUUUCCGAAUGGGGAAACCCAGUGUGUUUCGACACACUAUCAUUAACUGAAUCCAUAGGUUAAUGAGGCGAACCGGGGAACUGAAACAUCUAAGUACCCCCGAGGAAAAGAAAUCAACCGAGAUUCCCCCAGUAGCGGCGAGCGAACGGGGAGCAGCCCAGAGCCUGAAUCAGUGUGUGUGUUAGUGGAAGCGUCUGGAAAGGCGCGCGAUACAGGGUGACAGCCCCGUACACAAAAAUGCACAUGCUGUGAGCUCGAUGAGUAGGGCGGGACACGUGGUAUCCUGUCUGAAUAUGGGGGACCAUCCUCCAAGGCUAAAUACUCCUGACUGACCGAUAGUGAACCAGUACCGUGAGGGAAAGGCGAAAAAGAACCCCGGCGAGGGAGUGAAAAAGAACCUGAAACCGUGUACGUACAAGCAGUGGGAGCACAGAGCAAUCUGUGUGACUGCGUACCUUUUGUAUAAUGGGUCAGCGACUUAUAUUCUGUAGCAAGGUUAACCGAAUAGGGGAGCCGAAGGGAAACCGAGUCUUAACUGGGCGUUAAGUUGCAGGGUAUAGACCCGAAACCCGGUGAUCUAGCCAUGGGCAGGUUGAAGGUUGGGUAACACUAACUGGAGGACCGAACCGACUAAUGUUGAAAAAUUAGCGGAUGACUUGUGGCUGGGGGUGAAAGGCCAAUCAAACCGGGAGAUAGCUGGUUCUCCCGAAAGCUAUUUAGGUAGCGCCUCGUGAAUUCAUCUCCGGGGGUAGAGCACUGUUUCGGCAAGGGGUCAUCCCGACUUACCAACCCGAUGCAAACUGCGAAUACCGGAGAAUGUUAUCACGGGAGACACACGGCGGGUGCUAACGUCCGUCGUGAAGAGGGAAACAACCCAGACCGCCAGCUAAGGUCCCAAAGUCAUGGUUAAGUGGGAAACGAUGUGGGAAGGCCCAGACAGCCAGGAUGUUGGCUUAGAAGCAGCCAUCAUUUAAAGAAAGCGUAAUAGCUCACUGGUCGAGUCGGCCUGCGCGGAAGAUGUAACGGGGCUAAACCAUGCACCGAAGCUGCGGCAGCGACGCUUAUGCGUUGUUGGGUAGGGGAGCGUUCUGUAAGCCUGUGAAGGUGUGCUGUGAGGCAUGCUGGAGGUAUCAGAAGUGCGAAUGCUGACAUAAGUAACGAUAAAGCGGGUGAAAAGCCCGCUCGCCGGAAGACCAAGGGUUCCUGUCCAACGUUAAUCGGGGCAGGGUGAGUCGACCCCUAAGGCGAGGCCGAAAGGCGUAGUCGAUGGGAAACAGGUUAAUAUUCCUGUACUUGGUGUUACUGCGAAGGGGGACGGAGAAGGCUAUGUUGGUAGGGCGACGGUUGUCCCGGUUUAAGCGUGUAGGCUGGUUUUCCAGGCAAAUCCGGAAAAUCAAGGCUGAGGCGUGAUGACGAGGCACUACGGUGCUGAAGCAACAAAUGCCCUGCUUCCAGGAAAAAGCCUCUAAGCAUCAGGUAACAUCAAAUCGUACCCCAAACCGACACAGGUGGUCAGGUAGAGAAUACCAAGGCGCUUGAGAGAACUCGGGUGAAGGAACUAGGCAAAAUGGUGCCGUAACUUCGGGAGAAGGCACGCUGAUAUGUAGGUGAGGUCCCUCGCGGAUGGAGCUGAAAUCAGUCGAAGAUACCAGCUGGCUGCAACUGUUUAUUAAAAACACAGCACUGUGCAAACACGAAAGUGGACGUAUACGGUGUGACGCCUGCCCGGUGCCGGAAGGUUAAUUGAUGGGGUUAGCGGUAACGCGAAGCUCUUGAUCGAAGCCCCGGUAAACGGCGGUACUGUAACUAUAACGGUCCUAAGGUAGCGAAAUUCCUUGUCGGGUAAGUUCCGACCUGCACGAAUGGCGUAAUGAUGGCCAGGCUGUCUCCACCCGAGACUCAGUGAAAUUGAACUCGCUGUGAAGAUGCAGUGUACCCGCGGCAAGACGGAAAGACCCCGUGAACCUUUACUAUAGCUUGACACUGAACAUUGAGCCUUGAUGUGUAGGAUAGGUGGGAGGCUUUGAAGUGUGGACGCCAGUCUGCAUGGAGCCGGCCUUGAAAUACCACCCUUUAAUGUUUGAUGUUCUAACGUUGGCCCCUGAUCGGGGUUGCGGACAGUGUCUGGUGGGUAGUUUGACUGGGGCGGUCUCCUCCUAAAGAGUAACGGAGGAGCACGAAGGUUGGCUAAUCCUGGUCGGACAUCAGGAGGUUAGUGCAAUGGCAUAAGCCAGCUUGACUGCGAGCGUGACGGCGCGAGCAGGUGCGAAAGCAGGUCAUAGUGAUCCGGUGGUUCUGAAUGGAAGGGCCAUCGCUCAACGGAUAAAAGGUACUCCGGGGAUAACAGGCUGAUACCGCCCAAGAGUUCAUAUCGACGGCGGUGUUUGGCACCUCGAUGUCGGCUCAUCACAUCCUGGGGCUGAAGUAGGUCCCAAGGGUAUGGCUGUUCGCCAUUUAAAGUGGUACGCGAGCUGGGUUUAGAACGUCGUGAGACAGUUCGGUCCCUAUCUGCCGUGGGCGCUGGAGAACUGAGGGGGGCUGCUCCUAGUACGAGAGGACCGGAGUGGACGCAUCACUGGUGUUCGGGUUGUCAUGCCAAUGGCACUGCCCGGUAGCUAAAUGCGGAAGAGAUAAGUGCUGAAAGCAUCUAAGCACGAAACUUGCCCCGAGAUGAGUUCUCCCUGACUCCUUGAGAGUCCUGAAGGAACGUUGAAGACGACGACGUUGAUAGGCCGGGUGUGUAAGCGCAGCGAUGCGUUGAGCUAACCGGUACUAAUGAACCGUGAGGCUUAACCUU
rnacentral:rRNA from 1 species